GAUGAACGCUGGCGGCGUGCCUAAUACAUGCAAGUCGAGCGAACAGACGAGGAGCUUACUCCUCUGACGUUAGCGGCGGACGGGUGAGUAACACGUGGAUAACCUACCUAUAAGACUGGGAUAACUUCGGGAAACCGGAGCUAAUACCGGAUAACAUGUUGAACCGCAUGGUUCAACAGUGAAAGACGGUCUUGCUGUCACUUAUAGAUGGAUCCGCGUCGCAUUAGCUAGUUGGUAAGGUAACGGCUUACCAAGGCAACGAUGCGUAGCCGACCUGAGAGGGUGAUCGGCCACACUGGAACUGAGACACGGUCCAGACUCCUACGGGAGGCAGCAGUAGGGAAUCUGCCGCAAUGGGCGAAAGCCUGACGGAGCAACGCCGCGUGAGUGAAGAAGGUCUUCGGAUCGUAAAACUCUGUUAUUAGGGAAGAACAAAUGUGUAAGUAACUAUGCACGUCUUGACGGUACCUAAUCAGAAAGCCACGGCUAACUACGU
rnacentral:rRNA from 1 species